AGUGAACGCUGGCGGCGUGCUUAACACAUGCAAGUCGAACGAGAACGGGUUAUAGCUUGCUAUAAUUGUCAGCUAAGUGGCGCACGGGUGAGUAAUGUAUAGGUAAUAUGCCUCUUACUAAGGGAUAACAAAUGGAAACGUUUGCUAAUACCUUAUACUCCUUAUUAACAGAAGUUAAUAAGGGAAAGAUUUAUUGGUAAGAGAUUAGCCUGUAUUGUAUCAGUUAGUUGGUGGGGUAAUGGCUUACCAAGACUAUGACACAUAACUGGUUUGAGAGGAUGAUCAGUCACACUGGAACUGAGACACGGUCCAGACUCCUACGGGAGGCAGCAGUGGGGAAUAUUGCACAAUGGACGAAAGUCUGAUGCAGCAACGCCGCGUGGAGGAUGACACAUUUCGGUGCGUAAACUCCUUUUAUAUGAGAAGAUAAUGACGGUAUUAUAUGAAUAAGCACCGGCUAACUCCGUGCCAGCAGCCGCGGU
rnacentral:rRNA from 1 species